GACGAACGCUGGCGGCGUGCUUAACACAUGCAAGUCGAACGGAAAGGCCCUGCUUUUGUGGGGUGCUCGAGUGGCGAACGGGUGAGUAACACGUGAGUAACCUGCCCUUGACUUUGGGAUAACUUCAGGAAACUGGGGCUAAUACCGGAUAGGAUCUCCUGCUGCAUGGUGGGGGUUGGAAAGUUUCGGCGGUUGGGGAUGGACUCGCGGCUUAUCAGCUUGUUGGUGGGGUAGUGGCUUACCAAGGCUUUGACGGGUAGCCGGCCUGAGAGGGUGACCGGGCACAUGAGGACUGAGGUACGGCCCAGAAUCCUAAGGGAGGCAGCAGGAGGGAAUAUUACAAAAUGGGCGGAAGCCUGAGGCAGCAACGACGCGUGCGGGAAGACGGGCUUCGAGUUGUAAACAGCUGUGGCCGGUGACGAAGAGUGAGUGACGGUAAUGGGUAAAGAAGCAACGGCUAACUACGUG
rnacentral:rRNA from 1 species